UCCGAAAUAGUUCACUGGUUAGAAUUCUUGAUUCUCAGUCAAGAGGACCGGGUUCAAUUCCCGGUUUCGGAA